rnacentral:rRNA from 1 species
UACGUAGGGGGCAAGCGUUGUCCGGAUUCAUUGGGCGUAAAGAGCUCGUAGGCGGUUCAGUAAGUCGGGUGUGAAAGCUCCGAGCUCAACUCGGAGAGGCCACCCGAUACUGCUGUGACUUGAGUCCAGUGGAGGAGCGUGGAAUUCCUGGUGUAGCGGUGAAAUGCGCAGAUAUCAGGAGGAACACCAGCAGCGAAGGCGGCGCUCUGGGCUGGAACUGACGCUGAGGAGCGAAAGCGUGGGUAGCAAACAGG